AUUGAACGCUGGCGGCAGGCUUAACACAUGCAAGUCGAACGGUAACAGGAAGGAAGCUUGCUUUCUUUGCUGACGAGUGGCGGACGGGUGAGUAAUGCUUGGGAAUCUGCCUUAUGGAGGGGGAUAACUACGGGAAACUGUAGCUAAUACCGCGUAAUAUCUACGGAUUAAAGUGUGGGACCUUCGGGCCACAUGCCAUAAGAUGAGCCCAAGUGAGAUUAGGUAGUUGGUGAGGUAAAGGCUCACCAAGCUGACGAUCUCUAGCUGGUUUGAGAGGAUGACCAGCCACACUGGAACUGAGACACGGUCCAGACUCCUACGGGAGGCAGCAGUGGGGAAUAUUGCACAAUGGGCGCAAGCCUGAUGCAGCCAUGCCGCGUGAAUGAAGAAGGCUUUCGGGUUGUAAAGUUCUUUCAGCGAUGAGGAAGGUUGUAUAUCUAAUAGGUAUGCAAAUUGACGUUAGUCGCAGAAGAAGCACCGGCUAACUCCGUGCCAGCAGCCGCGGUAAUACGGAGGGUGCGAGCGUUAAUCGGAAUAACUGGGCGUAAAGGGCACGCAGGCGGUUGUCUAAGUCAGAUGUGAAAGCCCCGAGCUUAACUUGGGAAUUGCAUUUGAGACUGGGCGACUAGAGUCCUCUAGGGAGGGGUAGAAUUCCACGUGUAGCGGUGAAAUGCGUAGAGAUGUGGAGGAAUACCGAAGGCGAAGGCAGCCCCUUGGAGAGAGACUGACGCUGAGGUGCGAAAGCGUGGGUAGCAAACAGG
rnacentral:rRNA from 1 species